UAAAUACAAUAUUUUUUGAAA
rnacentral:piRNA from 1 species